CCGUCUUCAGUUCCAGAUUCUGCAGCCAUCCUGAUCAGCAAAAAAACCCAUUGACUGAUAAAAGCAGCAGCUAGCGGACAAAGAACAAACUCGAAUCAAAGUCAAACGGAAUGCCUUCGAACCAGCACUGACCAACAGAUCCCAUUCCUAACUAGGAGUCACUUGUAUGUAAGCAGCCCAGAAAAUGGGGAGGGACAGAAAGCUGCCCUGUAUUUGCAGAUUUGCCCCAAACACACCGAAGACCCAGAUCUAAUAAAAAAAUUAGGAUUUUGGAUUCCCCCCAGCCUCCUUCUGUGACAUCUGAUGGCUUGUAUUGAAAUGGAGGAACCCAGGAAGGCUGCAGAUUGCAGACCACUAGUGAGAUGAUUUGUUGAAUGAAAGAAAGGACACAAGUUAAAAGGUGAUUGUCUGCAGUGGGAACCCUUUUGUAUCCCUGGAGCCUCAAUCUAGUGACAAUUGCUGCAUAGCCUUAAACCAAGGAUAUAGCAUUCAGAAAACAUGUUGAGCCAGUUGAGGCAUUAAAAAGAUCAGUCUUUGGCUGCUGAAUGAAAGCCUGUUGUGUGUGUGACUCACAUACUAAAUGGAAAUCUGCCUUCAAAGACUAUUUUACUGCCUAAUUAUACAUACACAAAAUGUAGCUGUCUGUUUCAAUCAAAUCAUAGGAAAAGAAAUAAAACUCCUCUUAAGAUGCAAUUUUCAUGGUUUGUCAUAACCUCCCAACACCCACUGGUAAUGCAAACGAAGGAAGUACAGCUGCAAAGUCCAGAUAAGACUGCUGUAAUUGUUUUUCCCCCCUCUUAAUUAUUGCAUUAUAAAGACAUUAUACCUCCUACUCAGAAUCAGGGAAAAUUAUGUCCUUGGUUUUUUUAUAGAAAUAUUUCCCCCCUUCUUUUCAAAGAAAGGCUGUCAAUACCCAUCUGUGGGAUAAUCAAUCAGUGGAAACCUACUUUUAAAUAACUUUGAAACAUAGUACUCAGGACAGUUCAUCCUCACAUUGUGUUAGGAAUCACACACUUCUAACCACACAGCAUAUAUUGACCAGGAGAUUUUUUUUAGAAAAUGAAUGUUGAAAAUUUUCAAGUUUGGAUGUGCUGAAAAUCUGUGUUUGCGCAUGUAUUCUUCAUAUGUUGGUAAAUUUACACUGGUCAAACCAUGCUGCUGGAUUUCUUGGUCUGUAUUUGUGCAUUGUAGAGUCUAUUUCACACACACUUACUCAGAAGUAAGUCCCAGCAGAUCUUGCUGUCAAGAAAGGAUUAAACUUAUUCUCAAGAAAGUGGGCAAAUGGAUUACAGCUUUAGUCAUAACUGAAAAGGAUGUGGAAAACUGCUGCAGGGGUGAGACUGUGCUGGGACCAUCAAAGGGCAUGCUUUCCACCUGCUUUGCUCCCUCACCCCUGCUCUUAGUGACAUUUUCUGAAGAUUGUCCUUUACCAGGAAGAUGGAUGCUUUUGGUUAGCUGUUAUUGCUUUUUAGAAAUGCUACAAUUUUGUUAGUUUGAUUUUUUUAAAAUUGUAUUGUUUUUAUUUGUGUUUUGUAUUUGUGUGUAAGCUGCCUUGGGGGCCUUUUUGGCCAAAAGGAGACCUAUAAAUAAACUGUAACAUAACAUAACAUAACAUAACAUUUGAGGAAAAUAUAAUAACGUUUCAUAGAGGUAAC